rnacentral:tRNA from 1 species
GACUGGGUAGUAUAAAGGUUUAAUGCGGUGGGUUGCAGUUUCAUUAAUGAUGGUUCGAAUCCGUCCCCAGUC